CCCGCCGCCCUCCCCGCACCCGGCCCCGCUCCCACCGGGCCCUGCACAGGAGAGGCGGCAGCGGGACAGAGAUCGGUAUCGAUAGAUAUCAAUAGAUAUCGAUGGAUAUCGAUAGACAUCGAGAGAUGUAAACAGAAAUCAGGAGAGUCCAGAGCGGGACAGAGCCGGAUCGUGACAUCAGCGGCUCCUUCUCCUCCCACGAGGGUCUGGGCUGGGGGUGCGAGCGGGACGGGACGGGACGGGACGGGACGGGACGGGCGGAGUUCGCGGCCCAUUUCAGCCCAUUUCGGCCCAUUUCAGCCCAUUUCGGCCCGUUCCGGCCCGUCCCAGCCCGGCCAGGCGCCGUUCCGCCCGUAGGAAGCGCCUUUCCCCGCCAGCGCAGCUCCAGCUGCCUGCAGGCUCUGCCGGGGGAGAGGAGUGCAGGGGAAGGGCAGCCACGGGGGAAAGUUGCGAACCAGAGCUUUUCUUUUCGGCGCACAGCGGAACAGAGGUGUUUGAUUUCUUCCCGGGAACAGCACAACUUCGGGGUUUGGCGCACACUGCUGGGAAUUCUCCUCCGGUCACGGUACUUUGUUCGGAGUUAAAUGAAGAUAUCGAGGGGUGAAGCGAGAAAACACUACUCGGAGGGUCUGAAGGAUCUUUUGCCACCACUGAAGGAAUGGACUUUUUGAACCUGCAUGGAAAAUGUCCUUUUUAAUACCAGAAGUCGCAAAGGAAAACUUAUGAUUGAAAUCUUACAGGAAUUUGAUUUCAGCUGUACUUUUAACCUUAAAUAGACCAUGGAGAGUUUGUUAUCUCUACUCUAUUGCCAUUAUUCUUUGCUGAUUUUGUUUCAGCAAAAAUAUCAGGUAUACGGAAACUAUUCCCAGCUUCCCAAACACCCAGGGUUCAAAGUCCUGGCAUCAGCUUCCCAUUACUGGCCAUUGGAGGAUGUGGAUGGAAUUCACGAGUUUCGGGAUACAAAUGGAGCUCUAAGAACCCACAACUUCACUGUGCUUCCUUCCCAUAACUCUACCUUUGUAAAUACCAAUGACUCUGCCUACUCUAACUUCUCUGCAACUGUAGAUAUUGUAGAAGGGAUGGUGAACAAGGGAAUUUACGUCACUGAGAAGAAAGGAGUCACCUUCCUCUUCUUUGGAAGCUAUCGGAAUUCUUGCAUUAGUAAUCCAGAGGCUUGUGGGCCUGAAGGAGUAACAUUUUCCUUUUUCUGGAAGACUCAAGACCAACAGGCCAAGCUUCUCCCUGCCUCUGGUGGAAGAGUAAUUUCCAGUGGUUUCAAAAUCUGCUCAAACGAAGGUGAAGGCUCUGUGGAGUUUUACACCCGUGGGAAUGCAAUGAUGAAGUGGAAAGCAAGCUUUAGUCCACCAGGUCCCCACUGGACUCACGUCCUCUUCACCUGGAAGUGGCGGGAAGGGCUGAAGGUCUACGUGAACGGCACCCUGAGCAGCGCCGACCCCGACGGCAGCGUUUUCUACGACUACGGCGACGGCGGGGCCGGGCUGCUGACGGGGAGCGAGGGCGGCGCUGCCCGGCGCGCCGUCAGCGGGGCCUUCGACGAGUUCGUCAUCUGGGAGCGGGCCCUGAGCGCCCACGAGGUGCAGCUCUACUUCAGGGCUGCCAUCGGUGUGCAAGUUCUGCUUUCUUCAACACUUCCAUGGUCUCUGAUGACAACCACUGCAAACCCCGUGCUCCCCAACGCCUACCAGCCCAUCAUCUCGGCGCUGAGCCAGGACAGGGGCAGCUCCCGGAGCCCGAGCUCGGCGCUGGGGCGCCUGCAGAACGUGUCCUCCAGCCUGCCGCACCAAGCCGUGUCCGAGCACACGGCCCUGAGCCUGGCCCAGGCAUUUUUAAAAGCUAUUGAAGACUUUAUGCUACUGUCCAACUGGAUUGAUGGACCAGAGAGCCCGGCCGUGUUCGGCAGCCUCGUGCUCACCAUCGACACCGUCAUGGCUCACCUGGCCCUCAACCUGGACGGGGACUCGCCGCCGCUGACCCUCGAGGGCUCCUCGUCCGUGGCAGAUUACGCUGUGCUCAAAAUGCAUCCUCAGAGCCUGAACGUGUCCCACUAUCGAUUUCCAUCUCGAGGGCAGAGCUAUAUUUCCAUUCCCAGUGAAGCCUUCCAUGGAAAAGCCUGGAUCACCAUCGUGGGCCUGCUGUACCACAACAUGCAUUAUUUCUUCCAUAACAUCAACCCCAUGGACACCAAGAUUGCUGAAGCUGCUGCCUACAAAGGUUACCUGAUCUCAGCCAGCAGUGCUCUCAUCUCUCUCAAAGUGGAGCCCGUGCCCCAGCUGUCCUCCAACCUGUCAGGAUCUCCUCUCGUCACCAUCCAGCUCGCCCACAGGCUGACACCCAGACAAUACAGCCAAGCACUAAAUACAAGUAACAGAGUUCAUCUUUACUGUGCAUUUCUGGAUUAUAGCAAUGGAACUGGUGUUUGGUCCGAUGAGGGCUGUGUGCGUGAGAGCGGGGACCUCAACUACUCCGUGUGCCUCUGCAACCACCUCACCAACUUUGCCAUCCUGAUGCAAGUGGUGCCUCUGAAGCUGACGAGGGAACACCAGGUGGCCCUGUCCUCCAUCACUUACGUCGGCUGUGCCGUGUCCAUCCUCUGCCUGGCCAUCACGCUGGUCACAUUCGCUGUGCUGUCGUCUGUCAGCACCAUCCGCAACCAGCGCUACCACAUCCACGCCAACCUGUCCUGUGCCGUGCUGCUGGCCCAGGUCCUGCUGCUCACCAGCUUCCAGCUCAGCCCCGCCACCCUGCCUUGCAAGAUACUGGCCAUUCUCCUUCAUUUUUUCUUCCUGAGUGCGUUUGCAUGGAUGCUGGUGGAAGGAUUUCAUCUUUACAGCAUGGUGAUCAAAGUAUUUGGGUCAGAAGAAAGCAAGCACUUAUAUUAUUAUGGAAUUGGAUGGGGCUGCCCACUGGUGAUCUGUGUCAUUUCUGCAACGUCGUCCCUGGACAGCUAUGGAGAACGUGGCAACUGCUGGCUUUCACUGGAGAAUGGAGCAGUCUGGGCUUUUGUGGCGCCAGCCAUGUUUGUCAUCCUGGUCAAUAUUGGCAUCCUCAUCGCUGUCACAAGAGUCAUCUCCAGGAUCAGUGCAGACAACUACAAGGUCCAUGGAGAUGCCAACGCCUUCAAACUAACAGCUAAAGCAGUGGCUGUUCUCUUACCAAUCCUGGGGAGCUCGUGGAUCUUUGGCAUUUUGGCUGUCAAUGCCCACACUUUAGUAUUUCAGUAUAUAUUUGCUGGUUUUAAUUCACUACAAGGAUUUUUCAUGUUCCUGUUCCACUGUCUUCUGAACUCAGAGGUUAGGGCUGCCUUUAAGCACAAAACCAAGGUCUGGUCCCUCACCAGUAGUUCAACACGCAACAUCAACGUGAAGCCCUUCAAUUCAGACAUUAUGACUGGGAACAGGCCAGGCACAACUCCCACGAAGCUGAACACCUGGGAUAAAAGCACCAAUUCAGCGAACCGCAUCGAUUUAUCAGCAGUCUGACAGGAACAGCAGCUCCUCGGAGAAAAUCAAGCCAUACAUUCAGCACCUCUGACACCGUGUCCACCAGAUUUUUCUCACUGCUAAUAGCAGUAGAAAACUGGAGUUUUAAAUCAGUGCCUAAUGAAUUGGUAAUUGCUAUAUUGUUUUGUCGAGUCAAUAGCCCUCGUUGCUUGCCCUCAAACGGUAACACGUUCUAGCCCUUGGCUAUUAGCAGUAUCUGUAAAGAUGACCAGCACAAAUAUACACUGGAUGGUUUUGUCAGCGAAGAUGAAAACACUAGGUAUGCAAGAAGGGCUUAUUGCUCUCUGAAUCAUUCCAACGCCCAGAACUGAGGGAGAGCACCAUACCUCUGAAAAGAUGGAUUUUUAUGCUCUAAAAUGAAAUGCUUCCCAUUGUGAUGUUGUAACGAGACUAUUCCUGACUUGCUGUGCUCUCUCUGUUUACAUUUAUUACCUUACAGAAUUGUCAAAGUGAAGUUGAUUCAAAAUACAUAGUAUGAUGUUUAGUCCAAAUGCUACAAGGAAUUGAGGGAGAGGCAGGUUCCAGCUACUCCCCUCCCAAAGUGGCUGUGGAUUAGCAAAGCUAAGAAACACCCAAGCAGCACCUGUAAUGUGUAACUCUCCCAGGUGUGGCCUGUUAGUAUUUGAGAGCUCCCUGUUGCCAUGUUCUCAGCAGAGGCAGAAGUGGCUGUGGUUGUCCUCCCACAGCCCCUCUGUUGCUGCUCUGUGUCUGCUGACACAUUGCCAUACAAAUUAUUCCCCUGCCUUGCCUCGGGGUGCAAUCCACAACUCUGUGUCGAGUGCAUUUUGCAAACUCACUGUGGCUUUUAGAAACCAAGGCCUGGCACUGUGACUUCCCUCUCUCCUGUUGCUGGUCAUUUCGAGACACUGAAUUCCUGCCGCAAAGGUGUCACACACUGAUAUACUGUGAACACAGCCAGCCGACAAAUAGGUCUGUGUAUUGUCUCCUGCAGACAGCUUUUAAACAAGUCUCUGCAGUCUCUUUUGUGGUUUUAAACUCUGCUCAGCAUUUAGUAGCUUCUGCUUUAGUACUGCUAUGAAGUAUCUUUAAAGAGGAAAAAACCGCUGUGAUUUUUCUUGUGACCGGUGUUCUGUGGGUUUCAGAGCGGUGCCAGGAGCACGAGGCAGGGCCACUCAGCUGUGCCACACCUGCCCCUUGCCAGCUGCAGGGAGCAGAGUUCCAGAGCCCUCAGGUGCUCCAGCCCCGCUCAGCAGCCGGAGCCCUCCAGGGGAUGUCCCCUCCAGGGGAGGUCCCCUCCAGGGGAUGUCCCCUCCAGGGGAGGCCCCUCCAGGAGAUGUCCCCUCCAGGGGAUGUCCCCUCCAGGAGAUGUCCCCUCCAGGGGAUGUCCCCUCCAGGGGAUGUCCCCUCCAGGAGAUGUCCCCUCCAGGAGAUGUCCCCUCCAGGAGAUGUCCCCUCCAGGGGAGGUCCCCUCCAGGAGAUGUCCCCUCCAGGAGAUGUCCCCUCCAGGGGAGGUCCCCUCCAGGGGAUGUCCCCUCCAGGGGAGGCCCCUCCAGGAGAUGUCCCCUCCAGGGGAGGUCCCCUCCAGGAGAUGUCCCCUCCAGGGGAUGUCCCCUCCAGGAGAUGUCCCCUCCAGGGGAUGUCCCCUCCAGGGGUGGCUGUGCAGCCGCAGCUCCCGGCCCGGCCGCAGCGCUCCUGCCCUGGCCUGCUCUGCAGGGAUCACCGGGGCGAUUCUCCCUCCUGCCCGCCGGGCUGUCAAACAGGCAGAGCACAGGACACCCUUCAGCCUCAUGUUCCGCUGAGAUCUGUCGUGUUGGCUUUUUUAACCUUAGUUAAAUGUUUGUGUCUUCAGCAGCUCAGACCAUUCCUGGUCCCAGUGAAUGUGCUGUUUGCUUCCAAGAGAAAAGGUAUUUACACUGCAAUAUGCACAGUGGAAAUUUUCUCUUGGACAGUAAUUUAUCAAAAGGUAAAAUGAAAGUGAAUUGAUCUUUAGGGAACAGGAAUUCCCCAUCAAUUUUGACUGAAUUUAGUGAAGUGUUUAAUCCAAAAGACAUGGAAUUGAAAGUUCAGAAAAACUCAACGCAUUUAAUUUCCAUUUGAUCCAAACCAAGUUUUGUCCAUGUUUCCUUCUUGCACUAAAAAAUAAAAAUCUGUUUCAGUUUGGCCCAAUCUUUCCUGCCUUUUCCCCUUCCUAGCCAAGACCUCUUGGUGUGAGCCCCAAACUGGAAGCCCAGAGCCCACCCAAGCUUGUUGAGCUUACAGCUUAAAACAUUCUACAGAAAUUAUUUCAGUUGCACCAGAUCCAUGCUGAAUUUCUGCAGCUGGAACAGAGCAGAAGUGCACAUCACACAUACACAGGCAUGGAAUCCAUAGGCUUUAUUCUCAUGUUUCCUAAUGCUAAAUAACUCCAGUCGUUGACAACUAACUCCAAAGAGAGGCUCAGUAAAAGCUAAACAUGUAGAUGGCUGUGUCUUCAUUUGGGCUUUUGUGUAUGGUUUUCUCCUAGCCUUUUCUGCACUACUCUGGCUUACAGCUGUGCAAAUAUAUGGGCUUUUCUUGGCCUGGAAAUGAUUUUUUUCCCUCAAAAGACCCUGUAGACAGAGCUCUUGGAAUGUACAGAGGAGAUGGAAUAGAAGAGUACUGUGAUAACAGUGCUCAGAGUUUGUACUGUGUGCAGACAACAUAUUUAAGCAUAUUUUUUAUACUGGAGCAUAUGAGUUCUUUUGGUUUUGGUUUGUUUCUUUGGUUUGUUUUUGGGCUUUUUACACUGUGACCACAAACCCUCCUUGAUCAUUUCUCUGCUAAUCAUUGUACUAUAGUACAAAGUCCUGUGAAUGAACCAGACAACAUAUAAAAGCUUUAUUUUUUCUAAUCUUCAUUUUUAAGAGUAUUCCCCUCUGCACAAUUUUCAUUGCCUGCCUUUCCUCCUGUGCUGUGUUGUUCAUUUUGUGACCACUCAAGGUCCACUUCAGAAAAACCUCAAACAAAGACAUACCAGUGACAGCACAAAGUGGCAGUGGUACAAAGGGCUAAAUCAGUUUUUCACCCAGGUAUGGUCUGUUUUAAAAUUGCUCAGCAAGAAUAUGAAAAUGAGUUUGGUUUUGUACGUUUGAACGGGACAUGAAGUGUUAUGUGCUGAGGGAGCACUGAUGAUCCUGUGAGUCUCUGUGGAUGCAGGAACUGCUGGACGGGGCUGGGAUGAAGCAGUUUUAUCUUGUUCAUGGCCCAAGAGGUUUGGAGCACUGAAUUUAUCACACUGCAUUGGGGAUGGGGCUGCUUCUGGUUUUGACAAACUGGUGAAAAUCCCCUCAAAGUACAAAUGUGUUCUGUUGCCAUCAAUAUCCAUUCUUUUUGUUUGUUUUUCUUGGUACUGAAUGCAGCAAAUGUACUGAAUAAGAAAUGCUCAAAUGAAUCUUUAAACAAUCUCUUCUGUCCUCAGUCUCUUGAAGCUUGAAAAUCCUGCAGUUUAUUUAUGGGCUUGUAUAUAGCAGCUAUUACAAUAUUUUUUUGGACAGCAUCAUUUUGUCAACAGUAUGAAAUCUUAAUUGAAUGAAAUGUGAGUUUUAAAAAUAGGUAAUGUAACAAGGAUUACUUUGCCAGUAAGUAGUAAAAUAAUUUCAUUUUGUUGUUUUUUCCCCCUCAAAUAAAUAAGAAAUCUUAAUUUCCUAAAAUAA